rnacentral:rRNA from 1 species
CAGCCGCCGCGGUAAAACGGAGGGUGCAAGCGUUAAUCGGAAUUACUGGGCGUAAAGCGCACGCAGGCGGUCUGACAAGUCAGAUGUGAAAUCCCCGGGCUUAACCUGGGAACUGCAUUUGAAACUGUCAGGCUGGAGUCUUGUAGAGGGGGGUGGAAUUCCAGGUGUAGCGGUGAAAUGCGUAGAGAUCUGGAGGAAUACCGGUGGCGAAGGCGGCCCCCUGGACAAAGACUGACGCUCAGGUGCGAAAGCGUGGGGAGCAAACAGGAUUAGAUACCCCGGUAGUCCCUGUCUCUUAUAC